rnacentral:rRNA from 1 species
AGGACGAACGCUGGCGGCGUGCUUAACACAUGCAAGUCGAGCGACAGUGUUCUUCGGAACAUAUGGAGCGGCGAACGGGUGAGUAACACGUGGGCAACCUGCCCCUAGCUCUGGGAUAACUCCGGGAAACCGGGGCUAAUACCGGAUACGACCUCUUGCGGCAUCUUGAGAGGUGGAAAGUUUUUCGGCUAGGGAUGGGCCCGCGGCCUAUCAGCUUGUUGGUGAAGGUAACGGCCCACCAAGGCGACGACGGGU